GUUCCGUUGAAUUACAGUAGGUUGCUUCUCUUUCACGGCGGCGACACGGGUUCGACUCCCGUACGGGACGCCA
rnacentral:tRNA from 1 species